GAUGAACGCUGGCGGCGUGCCUAAUACAUGCAAGUCGAGCGAACGGACGAGAAGCUUGCUUCUCUGAUGUUAGCGGCGGACGGGUGAGUAACACGUGGAUAACCUACCUAUAAGACUGGGAUAACUUCGGGAAACCGGAGCUAAUACCGGAUGAUAUUUUGAACCGCAUGGUUCAAAAGUGAAAGACGGUCUUGCUGUCACUUAUAGAUGGAUCCGCGCUGCAUUAGCUAGUUGGUAAGGUAACGGAUUACCAAGGCAACGAUGCAUAGCCGACCUGAGAGGGUGGAUCGCCAGAUUGGAAGUGAGACUCGUCCGAGACACUGACGGGGAGCAGCAGUAGAGAAUCCUCCGCGAUGGGCGAAAGCCGGACGGAGCAACGCCGCGUGAGGGAUGAAGGUCUUAUGCUGGUAGAACGCUGUUAUUAGGAAAGAACAUAUGUGUAAGUAACUGUGCACAUCUUGACGGUACCUAAUCAGAAAGCCACGGCUAACUACGUG
rnacentral:rRNA from 1 species